rnacentral:rRNA from 1 species
AGCGUAUAUUAAAGUUGUUGCAGUUAAAAAGCUCGUAGUUGAAUUUCGGGGUCAGUAGGUCGGUCGUGCCACUGGUAUGAACUGGUUUUACUGAUUCCUCCCUCUUGAAGAACUGUAAUGCCAUUAAUUUGGUGUUGCAGGGAAUCAGGACUGUUACUUUGAAAAAAUUAGAGUGUUUAAAGCAGGCUUUAGCUUGAAUACAUUAGCAUGGAAUAAUGAAAUAGGACGUUUGAUCCUAUUUUGUUGGUUUCUAGGAUUGACGUAAUGAUUAAUAGGGAUAGUUGGGGGCAUUAGUAUUCAAUUGUCAGAGGUGAAAUUCUUGGAUUUAUUGAAGACUAACUACUGCGAAAGCAUUUGCCAAGGAUGUUUUCAUUAAUCAAGAACGAAAGUUAGGGGAUCGAAGACAAUCAGAUACCGUCGUAGUCUUAACCAUAAACUAUGCCGACUAGGGAUCGGAUGAUGCUAAUUUUUUAAUGACUCAUUC